GCGGUUGGGCUCAGUGGUAGAGUGCUUGCCUCACACACAUGUGAGGUACUGGGUUCAGUCCUCAGCACCACA
rnacentral:tRNA from 1 species